UGAACAGUAACCACAGCAUGUGGCAACCUGAGAAUUUUACAUAUGAACGUGAGUGUGUACAUGGUUGUACAUG